UGGGGGAUAUUGCACAAUGGGCGAAAGCCUGAUGCAGCGACGCCGCGUGGGGGAUGAAGGCUUUCGGGUUGUAAACCUCUUUCGCUAUCGAACAAGGCCCGCUUAGGGUGGGUUGAGGGUAGGUGGAGAAGAAGCGCCGGCUAACUACGUGCCAGCAGCCGCGGUAAUACGUAGGGCGCGAGCGUUGUCCGGAAUUAUUGGGCGUAAAGGGCUUGUAGGCGGCUUGUUGCGCCUGCUGUGAAAACGCGGGGCUUAACUUCGCGCGUGCAGUGGGUACGGGCAGGCUUGAGUGUGGUAGGGGUGACUGGAAUUCCAGGUGUAGCGGUAGAAUGCGCAGAUAUCUGGAGGAACACCGAUGGCGAAGGCAGGUCACUGGGCCAUUACUGACGCUGAGGAGCGAAAGCAUGGGUAGCGAACAGG
rnacentral:rRNA from 1 species